GAGAUACAGUGAUGACUGCAUAGUUCAGCAGAGAACCCAUGAAGAACUAACAAUGGUCUUUCGCUCCUAGCUGAUGUAUCGG
ensembl:snoRNA small nucleolar RNA snR60/Z15/Z230/Z193/J17